rfam:Schistosoma haematobium scaffold1188_6, whole genome shotgun sequence.
GCACUGCUGAGGAGUCCCAGCGUAGGAUGAAACAACCGUCCAGUGC